rnacentral:rRNA from 1 species
UACGUAGGUGGCAAGCGUUGUCCGGAUUUAUUGGGCGUAAAGAGCGUGUAGGCGGCCAGACAGGUCCGUUGUGAAAACUCGAGGCUCAACCUCGAGAUGUCGAUGGAAACCGUCUGGCUAGAGUCCGGAAGAGGAGUGUGGAAUUCCUGGUGUAGCGGUGAAAUGCGCAGAUAUCAGGAAGAACACCUAUGGCGAAGGCAGCACUCUGGGACGGUACUGACGCUGAGACGCGAAAGCGUGGGGAGCGAACAGG